rnacentral:lncRNA from 1 species
GACUCCUACCUUAACGAAUACAAAUUAGUUGCGUAAUACAAGCGUCACCCACCGAUUCGCUCCUAGAGGACAUCCAUCCGAAACAGCCUCCCUUGCGCCGGGGGCGGGGGGGGGAGGUAAAAACCGAAACAGCAGGCCGGCGCCGCGGCUCGCUAGGCUGGUCCUCCACCUGUGGCGCCAGUACUCUGGAUUCUAGUCCCGGUCGGGAUGCCGGAUUCUGUCCCGGUUGCCCCUCUUCCAGGCCAGCUCUCUGCUGUGGCCCGGGAGAGCAGUGGAGGAUGGCCCAAGUGCUUGGGCCCUGCACCCCAUGGGAGACCAGGAGAAGCACCUGGCUCCUGGCUUCGGACCUGUGCAGCGCGCUGGCCAUGGCGGCUAUCUGGAGAGUGAACCAAUGGAAGGAAGACUUUUCUCUCUGUCUUUCUCACUGUCUAACUCUGCCUGUCAAAAAAAAAAAAAAAAAUAGAAAAGAAAAAAAGAAACGAAACCGAGACAGCAGACACCACCACGAGGCAGUCACCGGGGGGGUUAGAGUCUUUAUUUAGUCAACUCAGUCCAGAAUGUAUCCCAGGUCCCUCCACCGCACCUCCCACCAUCAAAACAGCAGGGCCGGAAGCAACAGCCAGGCCACACCGAGGUCGGCACGGAGCACCGUAGCUGCCAGCUGCAGGACAGCAGGAUCUCGCACUUUGAGCUGCUCGUACCCCCGGCUGCCGGGCAGCUCAAGCCUGGAGCCCCGGGCCCCUCGGGGCAGCUGGAAGACCCCUGUUUCAGAGCCCCCUCUGCCAGCAUGGCAAAGCUCCUCUCAAAAUGUGCACACCAAGACUCCACGUGACCAACACGUGCACCCCCGAGGCAAGCCACCCACAAAAUCAGGGCAGUUUUGGGGCAUGAAGCGUUUAUUCAGGUUACAACAUCAUCAAAAAUGUCCACCACACUUCCGAAAGCUCUUAGCCAGGCACAAGGGCGAAACGCGGUCACGGUCCCAGCACUGCAGGCACAGGCGUUCACUACCGGAGCAGAGACAGGCGUUCACUACCGGAGCAGAGACAGGCGCGGGGGUGCGGUGGCUGUUCCCUUAGCACGGCUCCAGGCACACAGGCCCCGGCGCACGUCCCAGGCGGGCGCCCACCCCAGGGAGGCGUUGGUGCGGGCAGAGCAGUGCACGGCUGCUCUGUCCACAGGAACCGCGUCCGCACGUCUGAGGUCCUGAAACCCGAGCAGCUGACAGGAGGCGUGGACUCACGCGUCACGGCAGCAGUCGCUGCCCCGCCCCGCUCACUCCUCCUGUGCGCGGAAUCCGGGGCACACGUGCCGCACCGUACGUGCCCUCCACACGCGGCGGGCUCCCCCGUGGGACCCCGGAAGGGACACGUGAGUGCGUGUCUGUGAUGUCUGUGGCACACUGCAGGAGCAGGUCUGGAGAGAGGCAGAGGUGAGGGUGAAUGAGGGACAGAAAGGACGUCACCGGGCCCCAGAGGCGCGACCAGGAGCGCGGCCCUGGCUGGCAUCAAAGCCUGACCCGUGCAGCUCAGGACUGGCUCAGCUCUGUGACGCCCGCGUGUCCCUGCCACUCUUGCCCCGUGACUUUGGGAUCUCAGAGACAGACAAACUUAAAAAGAAAUUCUAGGGCCUGACAAGGGGCAGUCAACAUCUUGUUACACAACAAAGAGCCGUGCCUGCCACCUUCAGUGCACAACUCCUCAGCUUCGAGAUCAGGAAGGACAACCCCAGAACGAAAGAAUAAACCUGACUCCAUUCCGUGACCUAGCA